rnacentral:rRNA from 1 species
AAUCUUGGACAAUUGGCGCAAGCCUUAUCCAGCCAUGCCGCGUGUGUUAUUAAGGCCUUAGGGUCGUAAAGCACUUUCUCCGAUGCAGAUAAUUACGGUAGUCGGCGAAUAAGCCCCGGCUAACUUCGUGCCUGCAGCCGCGGUAAUACGAAGGGGGCUAGCGUUGUUCGGAAUUACUGGGCGUAAAGCGCACGUAGGCGGAUUGGUCAGUUAGGGGUGAAAGCCCAGGGCUCAACCCUGGAACUGCCUUUAAUACUGCCGGUCUUGAGUUCGAGAGAGGUGAGUGGAAUUCCGAGUGUAGAGGUGAAAUUAGUAGAUAUUCGGAGGAACACCAGUGGCGAAGGCGGCUCACUGGCUCGAUACUGACGCUGAGGUGCGAAAGCGUGGGGAGCAAACA